rnacentral:rRNA from 1 species
UAGGGAAUCUUCCGCAAUGGGCGAAAGCCUGACGGAGCAACGCCGCGUGAGUGAUGAAGGUCUUCGGAUCGUAAAACUCUGUUAUUAGGGAAGAACAAAUGUGUAAGUAACUAUGCACGUCUUGACGGUACCUAAUCAGAAAGCCACGGCUAACUACGUGCCAGCAGCCGCGGUAAUACGUAGGUGGCAAGCGUUAUCCGGAAUUAUUGGGCGUAAAGCGCGCGUAGGAGGUUUUUUAAGUCUGAUGUGAAAGCCCACGGCUCAACCGUGGAGGGUCAUUGGAAGCUGGAAAACUUGAGUGCAGAAGAGGAAAGUGGAAUUCCAUGUGUGGCGGGGAAAUGCGGAGAGAUAUGGGGGAACACCAGUGGCGAAGGCGACUUUCUGGUCUGAAACUGACGCUGAUGUGCGAAAGCGUGGGGAUCGAACAGG